rnacentral:rRNA from 1 species
GAUGAACGCUGGCGGCGUGCCUAACACAUGCAAGUCGAACGGAAAGGCCCUGCUCUUGCGGGGCGCUCGAGUGGCGAACGGGUGAGUAACACGUGAGUAACCUGCCCCUGACUUUGGGAUAACUUCAGGAAACUGGGGCUAAUACCGGAUAGGAGCUCUUGCUGCACGGUGGGGGUUGGUAAGAUUCGGCGGUUGGGGAUGGACUCGCGGGUUAUCCGCUUGUUGGUGGGGUAGUGGCUUACCAAGGCUUUGACGGGUAGCCGGCCUGAGAGGGUGACCGGCGACAUUGGGACUAAGAUACGGCCCAGACUCCAACGGGCGGCAGCAGGGGGGAGUAUUGCGCAAUGGGGGGGAGCGUGAGGCGACGACGCCACGAGCGGGAUGACGGCCUUCGGGUUGUGAACCGCUUUCGCCUGUGACGAGGCGUGAGUGACGGUAAUGGGUAAAGAAGCACCGGCUAACUACGUG